GUAGGUGGCAAGCGUUGUCCGGGAAUUAUUGGGGCGUAAAGCGCGCGCAGGCGGUUCUUUAAGUCUGAUGUGAAAGCCCACGGGCUCAACCGUGGAGGGUCAUUGGAAACUGGAGAACUUGAGUACAGAAGAGGAAAGCGGAAUUCCACGUGUAGCGGUGAAAUGCGUAGAGAUGUGGAGGAACACCAGUGGCGAAGGCGGCUUUCUGGUCUGUAACUGACGCUGAGGCGCGAAAGCGUGGGGAGCAAACAGGAUUAGAUGCCCUGGUAGUCCACGCCGUAAACGAUGAGUGCUAAGUGUUAGGGGGUUUCCGCCCCUUAGUGCUGCAGCUAACGCAUUAAGCACUCCGCCUGGGGAGUACGGCCGCAAAGGCUG
rnacentral:rRNA from 1 species